CGAGGUGAUCGCACGACGCACGACGCCACGAGUUUGUCACGUCAUAACGCGCAAGUCUUCCUGCCGUGGUGUACGUUCGGAGGACCGCUAGGAUUCGUGAUAAACGCUAGUCGAGUUGCUGUGAGUAGACCAACAAUGGAGAGAAGCAUCAUGAAGUGUGGCAGAAGGACAGGAGAUGAAUGCUGUAUGAGUGACUGCUGGAGGUACACCAAGAAUGAAGUUUAUGGGCAAUCUCCUGGACAGUAGUAUGGAACAAUGGAGAGGGAUGGUCCUGAUGAGGAUGGCAACUGAAGGAAAUGAAUGGGCCUCCAUGAUUGUCAUAUUCUUCCAAUUUCCUUCCUUAUCCUCUCCAUCAAGCAAGAUCCACCCUGAUUUGAUGGUCCAGUCUUCAGAGUUCUGGAAGUGCAUCUGCCCUUCUCUUAAUGCCUGCCUUACUGUAGGAAAAACAUACAGAAGAAAGGUAUGUAAUGAAACCCCUAAUUUGUAACUAAACAAUCAUUUAUUUUACACAAUACAUGACUAUGCUGGCAAAAGACCACUUUUAUAAAUAUAGAAAAGAGAUAGAGCUCAUCUGUACCUUUGAUGGCUUCUGCACAUGGACAAACCUCUGUAAAUUGCUAUCUACUAAUGUACUGUACAUUCAUUAUAUAUUAGAGUGUAUUCUGUGCACUUAUGUAAAUCACACCAUUAUGCAACUGAGAUAAUCCGGCAUCACUUCAGGUAUAUAAGAACCGUUUGCUCACAAAUAUACAGAUAAGAAUCACAUUUACCAAAAAUAGAAAAAAAAUAAAUAAAAAAUCCUACUCUAUUGACUUAAGACUAAACAAAAGAAAAAAAUAAAUAAAUUACACAUCUAAGUGUAUAACAACUCUUGCAUAAACAUCUUUCUAGUAUAUGGACCAAAGAAUGUCUACAUGGUUUGUUUAACUGGUAACAAAAGUACAUCUGUUGCUGUCCACUAACAGCCAGUAGCAGUCAGACUGUAGCCAAUCCCAUCACUGCUGUUCUUGCUGGCAGAAUGGUGUGUGCAAGAGGUGACAGGGGGCUAUCACAUCUCUCUCUCUCUCUCUCUCUCUCUCUCUCUCUCUCUCUCUCUCUCUCUCUCUCUCUCUCUCUCUCUCUCUCACACACACACAC